rnacentral:rRNA from 1 species
CGGCUCAGUAACACGUGGAUAACCUGCCCUUAGGACCGGGAUAACCCUGGGAAACUGGGGAUAAUACCCGAUAUGUGUAGAUUGCUGGAAUGCUUCUCCAUUUAAAGCUCCGGCGCCUAAGGAUGGAUCUGCGGCCUAUUAGGUAGUUGUGGGUGUAACGGACCUCCUAGCCUUUGAUCGGUACGGGUUGUGAGAGCAAGAGCCCGGAGAUGGAUUCUGAGACACGGUUCCAGGCCCUACGGGGUGCAGCAGGCGCGAAAACUUUACAAUGCUGGCAACCGCGAUGGGGGAACCUCAAGUGCCACUUUACACAGCUGGGUGUCUAUAUGCUGAAAAAACAUUUUAUAACAAGGGCUGGGCAAGACCGGUGCCAGCCGCCGCGGUAACACCGGCGGCUCGAGUGGUGACCGUUAUUAUUGGGUCUAAAGGGUCCGUAGCCGGCCUGAUAAGUCUCUGGAGAAAUCUCGCAGCUUAACUGUGAGGAUUGCAGGAGAUACUGUCUGGCUCGAGGUCGGGAGAGGUGAGAGGUACUUCCAGGGUAGGGGUGAAAUCUUGUAAUCCUUGAGAAACCACCUGUGGCGAAGGCGUCUCACUGAACCGAACCUGACGGGUGAGGACGAAAGCUGGGGGCACCA